UACGUAGGCAGCAAGCGUUGUUCGGAGUUACUGGGCGUAAAGAGUGCGUAGGCGGUGCUCUAAGUUUGGUGUGAAAUCUCCCGGCUUAACUGGGAGGGUGCGCCGAAAACUGGAGUGCUUGAGUAUGGGAGAGGCAAGCGGAAUUCCUGGUGUAGCGGUGAAAUGCGUAGAUAUCAGGAGGAACACCGGUGGUGUAAACGGCUUUCUGGACCAUAACUGACGCUGAGGCACGAAAGCGUGGGUAGCAAACAGG
rnacentral:rRNA from 1 species